rnacentral:rRNA from 1 species
GGUGGCGGCGCUACCAUGCAGUCGAACGGUAACAGGAAACAGCUUGCUGCAUUUGCUGACGAGUGGCGGACGGGUGAGUAAUGUCUGGGAAACUGCCUGAUGGAGGGGGAUAACUACUGGAAACGGUAGCUAAUACCGCAUAACGUCGCAAGACCAAAGAGGGGGACCUUCGGGCCUCUUGCCAUCGGAUGUGCCCAGAUGGGAUUAGCUAGUAGGUGGGGUAACGGCUCACCUAGGCGACGAUCCCUAGCUGGUCUGAGAGGAUGACCAGCCACACUGGAACUGAGACACGGUCCAGACUCCUACGGGAGGCAGCAGUGGGGAAUAUUGCACAAUGGGCGCAAGCCUGAUGCAGCCAUGCCGCGUGUAUGAAGAAGGCCUUCGGGUUGUAAAGUACUUUCAGCGGGGAGGAAGGGAGUAAAGUUAAUACCUUUGCUCAUUGACGUUACCCGCAGAAGAAGCACCGGCUAACUCCGUGCCAGCAGCCGCGGUAAUACGGAGGGUGCAAGCGUUAAUCGGAAUUACUGGGCGUAAAGCGCACGCAGGCGGUUUGUUAAGUCAGAUGUGAAAUCCCCGGGCUCAACCUGGGAACUGCAUCUG